rnacentral:rRNA from 1 species
AUGUGUGCUCGUUCGCGGUGCCGUCGACGAUGCCAACUCAUCUGUUGCUUGCAUCCAGGAGACAAAGCUCGCGUCUCUCCCUCUCGGGAAAGCCCGUUCCUUCCUCCCUGCCCGCCUCUCCGCGCUCGAGCACAAGGACGCCGACGGCUCCCGCGGUGGUCUGGUCACUGCUUGGGAUCCCUCUGUUCUGUCCCUUGUCUCCCGUUCGGACGCCCGUUACUCCCUUACCACCAAGUUCGCCUCUACGUCCUCAGACCUUGCCUUCUCGGUCACGAAUAUUACGCCCCUUCCGACCACUCUUUCACGCAAGCUUUCAUUGAUGAGAUGAUGGCCGUCUUGGCAUCCAUUUCCGGAGCCUGGCUUGCUCUUGGAGAUUUUAAUCUUAUCCGGUACCCACAUGAGAAAAACAACGCCAACUUUCGCGCCUCCCUUGCGUCCCGCUUCAACGCCUUGAUUAACGCCCUUUCAUUCGUAGAGCUCCCCCUCUCCGACCGCUUGUUCACAUGGACGAACCGG